UUCUGCAGUAGUCUUAAUAAUUGGAUUUGGUCAGAUUUGCGAUCUAAUCACAAUACUAAAAGUAAGAUAUUUUGAAAUUCUAGGCUAUCCACAUCACUAAAAAUAUUCUUCCAAUCACAACAUUUUAUUUUGACACGUCAGAUAGGCUUGAAUCUAAUAUCUUUUUGCCGUCUCCUUUCUUUCAACUUUCGACCUCCCCUAUGUCUUCAACUCUGUCGCUUCCUUACCUUGUAUUUUACAAUCAAAGCAUUAGCUUUGUAUGUAUCUACUCGCGAAACCUCAGAUACUAUAAAUCGGAGAGGUGGAAAAUGGAAUCAAGCAUCACCAACACGCUUUCUCAAUUUAUUUUCUCUCAAAAAUCUAAAAUCCUCUUUUGAAAUACUUCCGUCUGAUGCUGUCGUUGGUCGCCUCCCCUUCCUUUUCUUGGACUCGCGAAACAUCAAGCAAAAUGAAAAUUUAUGGAAUCACUCUCCUUAUCCUUGCAGAAAAGGUAUUGUCGUCUUAUACUAUCGAGCAUCAUAUUUUUCGAUCACUGUUUUUUUUUUUUGAAAGACAUGAUUUUACUCUUCCAACAGAAUUUAGUGAUCCACAGAUCCAUUCCUGCUAUAGAUGAAAUUUAGAACAAUGAUUAGGAAGUUUGACAUCUUCAAUCUCUUGCAAACACGAACUCAAAACUGCCUGUUUUUUCAUUUACGUUUGCUAAUUUAUAUUUUAGAAAUUUAUAUAUAAUUUCGUUAUUAAUUGUGAAGCUCUUUAUCAAAUGGCAAAUCUUGGCCAAAUUCGUCAUGUGCAAGGUUCUGACCUUAAGAACGGUGAAGCAAUGACUAGACUUGUGGUCUAUUUCCUCACUAGGAGUUUUGCAUAAGAGGAGUAAUAUGUGGAAGAGAGUCAGAGUGAAAGAGAGAUAAUUGUUUCCCAUUCGGUUUUGUUUUUGUCUUAUAGUCUGGUCUUCUCUACAGCUCUGUCACAAACUAAAGUGUUCAAUCAAGACAGGUCAGUCCCUAAUUUAAACAUCUUCUCAUGUUUUUGGUAUUUCUUACUUAAGAAAAAUAUAUCUGACCACUUUCCCUUCCAAAAAAGUUGGAUGACUUUUUGAUUUCAGUUGUGCCGUGAGAUUUCAGUUUUGGGGUUUCUAAACUUGGUUGGAUCUCCUAAGAAAAAGCUGUUUAGAAUUGAUUACGAGAUAUAAACCCUGCAAACAAGAAAGAGUGAAGACAAUGGGCAGAGAAGAAGAGAAUCAAAGUCUUAAGUGAAAGAGAAAGAAAAAGAAAAAGUUAACUUAGAGUCAAAGAAGGAGGCAACCUUGCAUUACAUCUCUAAAGAGUCGUUAGUCAUCUUAAGAGAAUGUGAGACAAGCAAGUGGAUCAUUGCAGCAAGGGAAAAGCAUGAUUGUGGCGGGUUUUGCUGAGGCGAAGAAGGAUCAUGGUUACGAACUGAUUCAAAAGUUGGAAGCUGGUGUGCAAGAUAUGCGACAGAUUGUCGAAGAUUGGAAGAGAGAUGUGGUUGCUCCUAAAGAGAAAGAGAUUCUCCAAUAUGUUGGUGGAUGAGUUUACUCAAAGGUGUAAUGCAUGAGAGAUAAAAAAAAAACCAAUAUGGUUUUGGAUUAGUAAGGAAGCUGAUAUAUUUGCUCAUUUAGACCCUUCUUGAUGACUGCAGCUGAGAUCUUCCUGUCCUGUGGCGCUCUGCAGAAUAGAAGAGGACAUGGUCGAUGGCUUCCCUUAUGAAGUCCCUGCAGAGUAUAUAAACAUGCAUCUUAUCAAGGGAAGAGCCACUGUGUACAUGAAUGUCAAGAUCAAGGACAACCCCCAACCUUGAGGAUUGUGUUUUCUGCAGUGUCCUCGAUGGCUAUAACGCCCCUGUUACCGCCGGAAACUUUGUGGACUUGGUGGAGCGCCAUUUCUACGAUGGCAUGGAGAUCCAGAGAUGUAAGACAUCAAACUUUCCCCACAAUAUAUAUUCAAAUUAUAUGUAAUGCAGAACAGGAGUUUGAGAAUGACCAGGAUCGAGCCAAGUGUUUUUGGUGCUGAAAGUGAGUGAGCUGACGCCAAGCAAUUCCAACAUCUUGGACGGUCGUUACGCUAUCUUCGGCUACGUUACUCAAAAUGAAGAUUUUAUGGCUGUUAAAGUUGGUGAUGUCAUUAAGUCCAUUCAAGUUGUCUCAGGUUGAGAAGAACAUGUUCUUGCACAAGAGAAAACUGAAAACAGAGUAUACGAAUAAAAAGAAAUAGACAAAUCUGAAUAGUUUAACAGAAGCUAUCCCACUAACGACAACAAGACAAGGUUUUUUUUUGCUCUUUGGAGUUUAAGAGUUUUAAUUAGCCAAAAGAUAAAAAAAAAAACAUGUUAUUUGCAUUUGUGUUAGCACUGACAGGAAAUAUGUUACAAAGCAACAUGUUACUACUUUAUUUGUAUUAGAUAUAUAUUUUAGUGUUUAAUUACU